ACGGGAGGCAGCAGUGGGGAAUAUUGCACAAUGGGCGCAAGCCUGAUGCAGCGAUGCCGCGUGAGGGAAGAAGGUUUUCGGAUUGUAAACCUCUGUCAACAGGGACGAAAAUGACGGUACCUGUGAAGGAAGCUCCGGCUAACUACGUGCCAGCAGCCGCGGUAAUACGUAGGGAGCAAGCGUUAUCCGGAAUUACUGGGUGUAAAGGGAGUGUAGGCGGGACUGUAAGUCAGAUGUGAAAUAUGCCGGCUCAACUGGCAGACUGCAUUUGAAACUGCGGUUCUUGAGCGAAGUAGAGGUAAGCGGAAUUCCUAGUGUAGCGGUGAAAUGCGUAGGUAUUAGGAGGAACAUCAGUGGCGAAGGCGGCUUACUGGGCUUUAACUGACGCUGAGGCUCGAAAGCGUGGGGAGCAAACAGGAUUAGAUACCCUGGUA
rnacentral:rRNA from 1 species